rnacentral:lncRNA from 1 species
AGAACUGCCCUUGCCUACCGCCCUACUGCGGGCGCUCCCCUGUCUGGGGGGUGCUUGGCUGGGUGUGGAGAAGGAUCAAUCACAGCUGACUCCUCAGAGGUGACAGCCCCUGCCCCCUUAAAAACAAGAAAAGACCUAGCAGUGUGAAGCCAAACUGCACCCCCAGCCCCGGUGACAUGAGGAAACCGUGAGGCGCUCAGCCUGAGGUUCAUCGUUCAUCUCCUUCCUGCUUGGAAUCAGAAUGUCCUCACUGCUGAGUUUCUCCGUUUUAUGGGAUUACAUUAGUGGACAAAGGAGUGAAGCAAAGCAGCACUGAGCUCCUCCAAGUAAAGAAAGAAUUGUUUUCUGUACAACCUGGAGCUGAAUCAUAGAAGGAGAAGACAGCUUGAAAGAUAAGAGGCCGUAAGGCAGACCACAGAGGAUGGGGAGGAUUUCCCCAGCACCCCAGCCCCCAUAGUCAGCUCUGGUUCAGCGAUUUCAGCAACUCUUUCAUGACCCAUCUGAUUUUGUUUUAUCCCAGCCCUGCAGAGAAAGGACUCUGCAGUAAAUUCAAACUAAAGAGGAAGAAGUCAUGAAAGGGCAGCUGCCACCUCAGGCCAUGGUGGCGGAGACAAAGGCUAUGGGCCGGUGUAGACGUCUAAGAAACCAACAGGAAGUCCCAGCCGGAAACACAGAAAGGAUAUGGAGAAAAUUAUUAUUCUGCCCCUACAGUUUCGGUGACCCAGAUGGGAUCUCUGGGACACCCUGCCUGCUCUACAAUUGGGAUCCCUGGAAAAGUGACAGAAUCUGGCAACAGAUGAGUAAGAAAGGUCACUUCCUGGCAGACCUCAGGUAUAUUGGGGACAUCAAGAAAAGAAUAAUUCAUCAAAGUCUACAGAUAUUGCAGGCAAAGUUGAAACAAGCCAGACAAGUUCUCUUUGUAUUCUUGAGAGACUUGGAAAGUCUAACCUGAGAUUCCUUAUUAAAAGUUCCAGCAAAACAGACUUAAAAA